GUUCUGUGUUGAUACAGCAUGCUGCCUUCCUACUGAUGU
rnacentral:sRNA from 1 species